rnacentral:rRNA from 1 species
GCACAGAGUUAGCCGGUGCUUAUUCUGUCGGUAACGUCAAAACACCAACGUAUUAGGUUAAUGCCCUUCCUCCCAACUUAAAGUGCUUUACAAUCCGAAGACCUUCUUCACACACGCGGCAUGGCUGGAUCAGGCUUUCGCCCAUUGUCCAAUAUUCCCCA